GAUGAACGCUGGCGGCGUGCCUAAUACAUGCAAGUCGAGCGAACAGACGAGGAGCUUGCUCCUCUGACGUUAGCGGCGGACGGGUGAGUAACACGUGGAUAACCUACCUAUAAGACUGGGAUAACUUCGGGAAACCGGAGCUAAUACCGGAUAAUAUAUUGAACCGCAUGGUUCAAUAGUGAAAGACGGUUUUGCUGUCACUUAUAGAUGGAUCCGCGCCGCAUUAGCUAGUUGGUAAGGUAACGGCUUACCGAGGCAACGAUGCGUAGCCGACCUGAGAGGGUGAUCGGCCACACUGGAACUGAGACACGGUCCAGACUCCUACGGGUGGCAGCAGUAGGGAAUCUUCCGCAAUGGGCGAAAGCCUGACGGAGCAACGCCGCGUGAAUGAUGAAGGUCUUCGGAUCGUAAAACUCUGUUAUUAGGGAAGAACAAAUGUGUAAGUAACUAUGCACGUCUUGACGGUACCUAAUCAGAAAGCCACGGCUAACUACGUG
rnacentral:rRNA from 1 species